UACGUAGGGUGCGAGCGUUGUCCGGAAUUAUUGGGCGUAAAGAGCUUGUAGGCGGUUUGUCGCGUCUGCCGUGAAAAUUCGAGGCUCAACCUCGAACUUGCGGUGGGUACGGGCAGACUAGAGUGUGGUAGGGGAGACUGGAAUUCCUGGUGUAGCGGUGAAAUGCGCAGAUAUCAGGAGGAACACCGAUGGCGAAGGCAGGUCUCUGGGCCGAUACUGACGUGAGGAGCGAAAGCGUGGGGAGCGAACAGG
rnacentral:rRNA from 1 species